GACGUCACGCACCAAACACUGUCACUCACUCCCUCUCUCUCUACCUCUGUCUUUCGCUUUCCCCUCUCCCUCUUUCAGAUGUUCUAUUCUGGGAAGUUGUGCCAGGAAUAAUAGCUUCGGCGUCUUCCUCACAAACGGAAAAAUCGUGUCGAGGAGGAUGUUUUACUCACAAGGUGUCUUCAUUUAGUAGCAGCAUAAGGCUUUAGAAUAGUCAUACGGAAGUCGAUCUUUUUUUGGUGCUAAUUCUUGUUUAAUUUUUCACUCUUGAGUCUUGGACGCUUUUAUCCGACAAUUAGCGAAGUGUCAAGAGCGUUGUCAUAGGUUGUCAUUUAUUUGGGAUUUUACCGGACGUGGGUUUUUGCACGGCACCUGAAGUGUGACACGGCUGUGCCGAUGCCCUGGAGGAGUGUGAACGCUGUGUGACGUCCUCGCAAGUCGCUCUCCUUGGCUGCACAACAGGAAACACUUGUGGCCUCCCUCCUUCCUGCGCUCAGAAAGAGGUAGUCUCUUUCUUUCUUCCUCUCACCCUCUUUCAUUCUUUUCUAUGGCUUUCUGUAGUGGUAGAACCAGCUGAGACCUACUUUUAUGUCCGCACUCUGCCAGCAGCCACUGCUGGAGUGUUGCUGGCUCCAUUGAUGCCUCCUCCGCUCCCAUCCAGCCAAUCAGACCACAGCUGUUUAUGCUGGAGAAAUGUGAUCGUUCUUUGCUCCAGCCUCUGAGCAGCGAGCAGCGCUAGAAGCAGAGCAAGAGAGAGAGAGAGAGCGCGCAGGCGGGCUAGAGAAAGAGGGAGGGCUGCAGACAGUAGAAGGGAAUAAGCUCCUCUUAGAGCCGUUUGAGUGGCGCUCGUAGAGGCUGCUGAGACUCGGGUUCGGUGAGGCUGUGAUUUGUACCCCCCACCCCUCUCCCCCGAGGCUCCCCAGCGCUGGAGGGAUGCAGAGGACACCGUGUCAGGGCGUGUGAAGAGGGUGUGUGCCUGGAUAGGCUUGCCAGGACUGCCAGGCAGAAGUCGUCUGUCAAAUCCCAGAGUGGUCUGUGUCAUCUCCGCCCCCUGGCCAAGGGGUCAUCCUGAUCUCUGAACCCCCACUCCUCACCCUCCUCCCACCAGCCUGACCCAGCGACCACCCCACCUUGCACCCAACCAAACAAGCGGACCGAAGACCCUUAAACAGUGCCAGGCUCAAUCACCACCUCAAGUCCUCUGAGAUUACGCAGGUCUUAAGUGAAGAUUCUUUUGGAAGUUGUAAAAAGAGAGAAAUCAAGAAGCACUUUUUUUUUUUAGACCG